UCGUUGGUCUAGGGGUAUGAUUCUCGCUUUGGGUGCGAGAGGUCCCGGGUCCAAAUCCCGGACGAGCCCGGAAUUGGUCUUUUAAAAAAGGCAAUAGGUUAGUCAAACGAAAUAUUUCUAUACGAAAACGUUACUUCCAAAUUUAUUCAACUAACGUAGGGUCUAGAGAUGCGCUUGUCGAAUUCUCUCGCCCAGCUAUUUGCAAUUAUGUCCCGUUGAAAUGUAACUUUCACCCUUUUGUCGGCUCGUUGGUCUAGGGGUAUGAUUCUCGCUUAGGGUGCGAGAGGUCCCGGGUCCAAAUCCCGGACGAGCCCGGAAGUGCUCUUUUGAAACAGUCAAUGGCUGUGAUUAGUCAAACGAAAUAUGUCGGAAUGAAAAUGUUACAUCCAAAUUUAUACAAUUCAGGUAGAGUCUAGAUAUGCGCUUUUCAAAUUCUCUCGCCUAGCUAUUUGCGAUUAUGUCCUGUUUUCAUGUAACUUUGACCCUUUUGUCGGCUCGUUGGUCUAGGGGUAUGAUUCUCGCUUCGGGUGCGAGAGGUCCCGGGUUCAAAUCCCGGACGAGCCCGAUGGAACUUGUUUGAUGCUGUUAGCGGUUGUAAUUUGUAAAUGAUGACAAAAAAGUUACUCCCCAAUUUGGUCAGUGAACGACCAUAUUGCUAGUAUGUUUCCAAAAAAUAGGCAAACACAACAAACUAGUGAAAAAAAACAAGCAAUUUGUUGACCACGGAUACGCUGAUUCAAUUCUCUUGCCUGGCCAAAUAGGAUUUUGUCCCAUGGACAUAGCAUUAAUAGUUUUUGUCGGCUCGUUGGUCUAGGGGUAUGAUUCUCGCUUUGGGUGCGAGAGGUCCCGGGUCCAAAUCCCGGACGAGCCCGGGAUAGGUCUUUUGAAAGUCAAUAGAUGUGAUAAGUAAAAUGAAAUAUGUCUAUACGAAAAUGUAACUUCCAAAUUUUUUCAACUAACGUAGAGUCUAGAGAUGCUCUUGUCGAUAUCUCUCGCCCAGCUAUUUGCAAUUAUUUCCCGUUGUCAUGUAACUUUCACCCUUUUGUCGGCUCGUUGGUCUAGGGGUAUGAUUCUCGCUUUGGGUGCGAGCGGUCCCGGGUCCAAAUCCCGGACGAGCCCGGAAUUGGUCUUUUGAAACAGUCAAUAGAUGUGAUUAGUAAAAUGAAAUAUGUCUAUACGAAAAUGUUACUUCCAAAUUUAUUCAAUUAACGUAGAGUCUAGAGAUGCGCUUGUCGAUAUCUCUCGCUCAGCUAUUUGCAAUUAUUUCCCGUUGACAUGUAACUUUCACCCUUUUGUCGGCUCGUUGGUCUAGGGGUAUGAUUCUCGCUUAGGGUGCGAGAGGUCCCGGGUCCAAAUCCCGGACGAGCCCGGAAGUGCUCUUUUGAAAAAGUCAAUAGAUGUGAUUAGUAAAAUGAAAUAUGUCCAUACGAAAAGGUCACUUCCAAAUUUAUUCAACUAACGUAGAGUCUAGAGAUGCGCUUGUCGAAUUCUCUCGCCCAGCUAUUUGCAAUUAUGUCCCGUUGAAAUGUAACUUUCACCCAUUUGUCGGCUCGUUGGUCUAGGGGUAUGAUUCUCGCUUUGGGUGCGAGAGGUCCCGGGUCCAAAUCCCGGACGAGCCCGGAAUUGGUCUUUUGAAAAAGUCAAUAGAUGUGAUUAGUAAAAUGAAAUAUGUCUAUACGAAAAUGUUACUUCCAAAUUUAUUCAAUUAACGUAGAGUCUAGAGAUGCGCUUGUCGAUAUCUCUCGCCCAGCUAUUUGCAAUUAUUUUCCGUUGUCAUGUAACUUUCACCCUUUUGUCGGCUCGUUGGUCUAGGGGUAUGAUUCUCGCUUAGGGUGCGAGAGGUCCCGGGUCCAAAUCCCGGACGAGCCCGGAAGUGCUCUUUUGAAACAGUCAAUGGCUGUGAUUAGUCAAACAAAAUAUGUCGGAAUGAAAAUGUUACAUCCAAAUUUAUUCAAUUAACGUAGAGUCUAGAGAUGCUCUUGUCGAUAUCUCUCGCCCAGCUAUUUGCAAUUAUUUCCCGUUGACAUGUAACUUUCACCCUUUUGUCGGCUCGUUGGUCUAGGGGUAUGAUUCUCGCUUAGGGUGCGAGAGGUCCCGGGUCCAAAUCCCGGACGAGCCCGGAAGUGCUCUUUUGAAACAGUCAAUGGCUGUGAUUAGUCAAACGAAAUAUGUCGGAAUGAAAAUGUUACAUCCAAAUUUAUUCAAUUAACGUAGAGUCUAGAGAUGCUCUUGUCGAUAUCUCUCGCCCAGCUAUUUGCAAUUAUUUCCCGUUGACAUGUAACUUUCACCCUUUUGUCGGCUCGUUGGUCUAGGGGUAUGAUUCUCGCUUUGGGUGCGAGAGGUCCCGGGUCCAAAUCCCGGACGAGCCCGGAAUUGGUCUUUUAAAAAAGGCAAUAGGUUAGUCAAACGAAAUAUUUCUAUACGAAAACGUUACUUCCAAAUUUAUUCAACUAACGUAGGGUCUAGAGAUGCGCUUGUCGAAUUCUCUCGCCCAGCUAUUUGCAAUUAUGUCCCGUUGAAAUGUAACUUUCACCCUUUUGUCGGCUCGUUGGUCUAGGGGUAUGAUUCUCGCUUAGGGUGCGAGAGGUCCCGGGUCCAAAU
ensembl:lncRNA